rnacentral:tRNA from 1 species
GAGGUCCUAGCUUAAUUAAAGUGUUUGGGUUGCAUUCAAAGAAUGCAGGUUAAUGUCCUGCGGACCUUA